rnacentral:rRNA from 1 species
GGGAACCUGGGGAACCCAGGCUAAUACCGCAUACGUCCUACGGGAGAAAGCAGGGGACCUUCGGGCCUUGCGCUAUCGGAUGAGCCUAUGUCGGAUUAGCUGGUUGGUGAGGUAACGGCUCACCAAGGCGACGAUCCGUAGCUGGUCUGAGAGGAUGAUCAGCCACACUGGGACUGAGACACGGCCCAGACUCCUACGGGAGGCAGCAGUGGGGAAUAUUGGACAAUGGGCGCAAGCCUGAUCCAGCCAUGCCGCGUGUGUGAAGAAGGCCUUCGGGUUGUAAAGCACUUUCAGCGGGGAAGAACGCCUGGCGGCCAAUACCCGCCAGGAGGGACAUCACCCGCAGAAGAAGCACCGGCUAACUCCGUGCCAGCAGCCGG